rnacentral:rRNA from 1 species
AGCUCCAAUAGCGUAUAUUAAAGUUGUUGCGGUUAAAAAGCUCGUAGUUGGAUUUCAGUUCUGGACUGAUGGUUCACCGCCCGGUGCACACCGUCACGCUCCGAAUAGCCACAACAGCCCGCUGGCUCGCACGGGGUGCUCUUCAUCGAGUGUCCCGCGUGGCCGGCAGAGUUUACUUUGAAAAAAUUAGAGUGCUCAAAGCAGGCUACACUGACGGCCUGAAUGCCUAUGCAUGGAAUAAUGGAAUAGGACCUCGGUUCUAUUUUGUCGGUUUUCUGAACCCGAGGUAAUGACUAAUAGGAACAGGCGGGGGCAUUCGUAUUGCGACGCUAGAGGUGAAAUUCUUGGACCGUCGCAAGACGAACUACUGCGAAAGCAUUUGCCAAGGACGUUUUCAUUA